rnacentral:rRNA from 1 species
UACGUAGGCGGAAAAUUAAGUCAGUAGUGAAAUCCUGCAGCUUAACUGUAGAACUGUUAUUGAUACUGGUUUUCUUGAAUAUAGUUGAGGUAGGCGGAAUGUGUAAUGUAGCGGUGAAAUGCUUAGAUAUUACACAGAACACCGAUUGCGAAGGCAGCUUACUAAGCUAUGAUUGACGCUGGGGUACGAAAGCGUGGGGAGCGAACAGGAUUAGAUACCCUGGUAGUCC